AGGAAUUAUUUCUCCUCCUGUGCUUGCCAUCCUGCUUCCCAUCUCCACCCUACUCCAGAGCCAGGGCUUCUCAGGAGGAUUGUCCUCUUCAUCCCUCCCUGACAAGUUUGCAGUGGUCACCCUGGGAAGGUGCCACGUGGAGGCUGCGACUCAACGGUGACCUGUGCGACCCCCUCUGCCGUAUCACCUGCAUUCAGGAAGCAAAGAGCAGCAUAAGCUGAGGUGCCUCAGGCCUGCACCCCUCAAUUUUCAGCCCCUGAUGAGUGCAAAUUAGCUCAGACCUUCCCAGGACAGGAGAAGGGCCCAC